AUGGCAUCAAAGUCUCAUCUUUGUCUCUUGGCAUGCACUCUCCUCUUCAUCCUCCUUUCUCUCCCCUCCCAUGCAACUUCAUCCGAAACCCACAACAAAAAAACAUCAUCACCAUUUGAGUUCCUUGAACAUCUUAAGGGGUUCCAAAAUGGUGACAAGGUCCCAGGAAUCCAAGACCUCAAAAAAUACCUUGGAAGGUUUGGUUACUUAAGCAGCAACAAUAACCAAACCACUGAUGAUUUUGACGAUCAAUUGGCGUCGGCCAUCAAAACCUACCAACUCAACUACAACCUCAAAACCACUGGAAUAUUAGACGCUCAAACAGUAUCCAAUAUGAUGAUGCCACGUUGUGGCGUCCCAGAUAUCAUCAAUGGUACCUCCUCUAUGCGAUCAGGCAAGCAAAGUCACCCUCCUCCUCACCACCAUCACAAGGGACACACAGUUGCUCAUUAUACUUUCUUCCCUGGAAAGCCAAAAUGGCCAGCCUCUAAGUACCACCUCACCUACGCUUUUCUUCGGGGCACCCCGACCGCGGCGAAGGGCCCAGUUGCACGUGCUUUUAAUACGUGGGCUGCCCACACACAGUUCAAGUUCAGCCAGGCUCGAAGGAAUAAGAAGCCGGAUCUGACGGUGAGUUUUCACCGGCGUAGCCAUGGAGAUGGGCAUCCAUUUGAUGGCCCAGGAGGGAUCCUAGCGCAUUCUUUUGCGCCGAAAGAUGGGAGAUUUCACUAUGACGCUGAUGAGAAGUGGUCUGUGGGCGUUGUGAGGGGUGCUUUUCACUUGGAGACUGUGGCUUUGCAUGAAAUUGGUCACCUCCUAGGGCUUGGCCAUAGCUCUGUUCGGACAGCUAUUAUGUACCCGACUAUAAGCUCUGGAGAAACCAAAGGCUUGAACAGGGAUGAUAUUCAAGGAAUUAAAGCAUUAUACCACGCUUGA
rnacentral:lncRNA from 1 species